rnacentral:lncRNA from 1 species
UGGGGAUUCCACUACGGGUAUUUACGCAUACCCGUAGUGGUAUGUAUGGUUUCCAGUUUUUUUUUUAAGAAUUGAGGAUUCCACUACGGGUCAUUACUUUUACCCGUAGUGGUAUGUGUAGUUUUCACUAUUGAUUGUUAUAAAUAUCAGUAGUGGUAUGUUAGUUUUAUUUUUUAUUUUUUUUCGUUUUUUUGUAGCUUCCUGUGCCUGCAUAUUAGUAGUGGUGUAGUUUUGUAACAUGUUUAAGACCAAAUUUCAUCACAGACCCCAAAGUUACAUUCAACACAUUAAAAGUCAAUACUUAACAUUAUCACUAAUUAAUUCCAAGUCUAAUUCCAAGCAGACAAUCACAUGUAACUACUUCAUAUAUGAUUCUUUUAUAAAUCUCGUUACAUUACGUCAUUACUUAUCGUAACAAGAUACAUACAUAUAAAUAUUAGAAAGUCUAAGGUCUCUUAAGAAAAUUCUUGAACCAUUGUGCUGAGAGCUUGUGAGCUACUAACCAUCCAAUCAUGAAGUCAAUUGAUCGCUNNN